rnacentral:rRNA from 1 species
AUGAUGAGUGCCAAGACACUCGCUCGGCUGGCGAAGAAGUGGCAGAGGGUGGUGGCUAUCGGGCGGAAGAGGCUGACCUGGUCGUCAUCAACGUCAGCGGAAGAAACCGGAGGGCCGUGUGGCACAUCAUGCUCAUCGGUGGCCGGCAAGGGACACUUCAUCGUGUACACCACCGACGGUGUGAGGUUCGAGGUGCCGCUUGCGUUCCUUGGCACGACAGUCUUCGGCGAGCUCUUCAGGAUGUCCCAAGAGGAGUUCGGCUUCGCAGGCGUUGACAGUGGCAGAAUCACGCUGCCCUGCGAUGCAUCGAUGAUGGAGUACGCGAUGUGCUUGCUCAGGAGAAGUGCCUCUGCAGAGAUGGAAGCCGCGUUCCUCCACUCCAUGGCGAUGUCAUGCCAUUAUCAUGCGGCAGCACAUCUGGGAGUUAGCCAGCCUUUUGGUGUCUGCAGCUCGUGA